ensembl:misc_RNA
UGGGCUGGACAUAUCCGGUAAUUGAACCGGAGUUUUCCAUUUAUCCACAGAACAAGUUCUGUGCUUCCGGCUACAGUGCAGGCCUGCUCACAGUACCCUGCCAGCGUGCUUACCCCUUGACCUGGAGGGACCAGCUGAGGGUGAGAACAUGAUUCGCUCUCCAUGCCCAUCCCAUGCUUGUUUGGU